AUCCGUGCUUCAUCCACAAAAUCUGGGCAGUACAUAUUUCUUUUUGCAUUUCAUUUGUUUUGAUCAUUUGCUUUAGAAGUCACCAAUUGAAUCUAGGCUAUCAAUUUUGAUGCACGUUAUAUGAUUGGAUGAGAUCUUGGCAAAAUUCUGCUCCAUUCCCGUACAUGAACUCAACUGAGACAGCCUAAGGUAAGGGAGGUGGAAGAAAGAAAGGGACUGUUGCAAAAAAUAGGUUUCCAUUCUAUGAUUGAAGGGUUAACCAUUUGCAUUUAGUUUUGUGGUUUUUGUCAACCUGUGAGUUAGUAGAAAUUAUGGAAGGACCACUUUUGUAGUGUUAGAAGAGAAUUUCAGACACCUACAUGUUUUAUUUACAUGCUGUGUUUGUUAUGUAAAGCUGUAAGAUUAGGUACUUUAUCAUAUAUAGAUCUUGCUCGUGUUAUGUAAAAAUGCAAAAUAAUAACAAUAAUAUUAUUGUGCUUUUUAGUUGUAGGAGAUUUUGUAUUAACUUUGUGAUGUGAAUAACCUUCUACAAAAAUGAAGGUUAUAAGGAUCAAUUGCUUAUUAACACGCCAUCACCACUGCUACUGGGAGAAGUUAGUAGGUAAGUCAUACAUGUCAGAAUUCUUCCACUAUGCAAGUUUCUCAUAUGUUUUAUCUACUGCCUUUGUGUGCUGAAAAAAUUGUCCCAGUUCUACAUUGCUGAUUUUUCAAUUUCGUAUAAGUAUGCAAAGAAUUGGAUGAACAAGAUUUGCAAUUAUUAAUCACAUAGGAUUAGAUAGCUUUUAGGAUGAUGAUGAACCAAAGCAAGUGGAAGAGCACUCAGAGGAGACAAUUUUGAUUUUACAUAGUGACGAGGAAGAGCCGAUGCAAGUGGAUCCACUUUGUUUAUUGUACCUUUGAGCAGUCUGCAGUACAAAAUCCACUUCUGUAGAAAUGUAUAUAUAUCUUUUUUUAUUGCUGCAGAGGUGCAUGUACAAAUAUCAACAGUUGUAGUUUUUGUUAUUUGCAUUAUGCUAAUUAAACCCCUGUGAAUUUCAUCCACUUUUCAGAUAACAAAUGAGCUUAUGUUGAAUUUUUUUCUCAAAGCAUAUGGGUUCUUGGAGUGUGCUAUGCAGCAUGGUAUUCCUAGGAUAUUUCCAGAAAAUAGGUGAGUACAGGACUGCAGGUACCAUGUUAAUCCAUGUGAAUCGUUUAUACAUGAUGCUUAUUAACUUGCUUGUGACAUGGGUAUAUUCCCUAGCUCAUAGACUGCAACAGGUCAAUGGCCAUCUCAGCUGCAUAAUUAAACAUAACACUUAACAUUAUUCAAGCUUAGCACCUAGACUUUAGAUGCACAACUUGUUGUUAGCCUGACGGUUU
rnacentral:lncRNA from 1 species